GGUCAGUCGUGCGUAGAAACUGCGGAGAAGAAGACCUGACGGAGCCGAUUCAAAGCCAGGAUGGCCAUCCUUGUUGUUCUUUUUUGGGAGAAACCAGAGAGGAGAGCUCGCGAGGGGGUGGAAAAGGACGACGAGGAGGAUGAGGAGAGACUUGGAAAGACGUUCGACGGGUCGUCGGAGGAUGAAGCGGGGUGAGCUUCGGGUAAAAAGAAGAAGAGAACGACGAAGAAGAAGAAGCAGAAGAAAAAGAAAUAGAGGGGGUGGGCGGGAACGCAAUUGAGCCUGCCACGAAGGAUGUUCCACGUCGUCGACCUUUGGAAGAAAAAAAAACGAUUCAACAACGAAAAUUGUAUCGGAUUUCAAACUUCCCGCCGAUAAGUACGCUGUUACCGACGGUUAAUAACAACGAGACGAGAGAGGGUUGAAAAAUUGGAUGCAUGGAAUCGAUUGAAAAAAGGUAAAAAUUCUCACCGGACUUCGAAAUGCGCUGGAUCAAUUUUCGAAACUUUGUCAACCUGUUGAAUAUCCAAACACAUCGAACAGUCUUCCGGAGGUCUGAAGAUUUGGUGAACAGCGGAAGGGAUGUCGACUAAACACUUUUAGAAGAAGAGAAAGACGAACGUGCAAAUUAUGAAGAAGUCUGGCCCCUCAUCGGAGGUAUUGAGAUUUCCUCAGAGCAUCUACAAAUCGUAUCAUCAUGUGUACAACAUAGAUGAUUUGUAGAAAUAAGCUUAUAUUUUUUAUCGAAAACUACCAGAUUAUUGAAACAAUGUCGAUUGAAAUGAGAACAUAGUCCAAACUAAUUGAUAUAAAUCGGUCAUGAUAUAUUGUAUAAACGUACUGUAUAAGUAAUAAUAUUUGAUUGUGAGUUAUCGAAUAACAAAUCAAAUGUGAUUGGAAAUAUAGGGAUUGUGAGCAUGAUUGUUGGUAUUGCAAGCACACUAUUUUAGGUUAUUAUGAAUAAAAUCAGUAAUCUUCGAGAUAUGUAUUUUGAAAAGUUGAUUGAUCAAUAAACCUGAACA